GAGAGAUUAUACAAGAACUGCUAACUCCUGCACCUGGAACUAAACUUUCAGAUAUCC
rnacentral:tRNA from 1 species